GGCCCGGUGGUCAAGCGGUUAAGACUCCGCCCUUUCACGGCGGCAACACGGGUUCGAUUCCCGUCCGGGUCACCA
rnacentral:tRNA from 2 species